rnacentral:rRNA from 1 species
GACGAACCGUGCGAACGUUAUUCGGAAUCACUGGGCUUAAAGCGCGUGUAGGCGGGACGGCACGUCGGUCGCUGAAAUCCCCCGGCUCAACCGGGGAACGGGCGCCGAUACGACCGCCCUGGAGGGACGUAGGGGGACCUGGAACUUCCGGUGGAGCGGUGAAAUGCGUUGAGAUCGGGAGGAACACCGGUGGCGAAGGCGGCGACCUGGGUGGAUACUGACGCUGAGGUGCGAAAGCGUGGGGAGCAAACAGG